rnacentral:rRNA from 1 species
UGGGGAAUAUUGCACAAUGGGCGCAAGCCUGAUGCAGCCAUGCCGCGUGUGUGAAGAAGGCCUUCGGGUUGUAAAGCACUUUCAGCGAGGAGGAAGGUGGUGAACUUAAUACGUUCAUCAAUUGACGUUACUCGCAGAAGAAGCACCGGCUAACUCCGUGCCAGCAGCCGCGGCAAUACGGAGGGUGCAAAGCGUUAAUCGGAAUUACUGGGCGUAAAAGCGCACGCAGGCGGUUUGUUAAGUCAGAUGUGAAAUCCCCGGGCUCAACCUGGGAACUGCAUUUGAAACUGGCAAGCUAGAGUCUCGUAGAGGGGGGUAGAAUUCCAGGUGUAGCGGUGAAAUGCGUAGAGAUCUGGAGGAAUACCGGUGGCGAAAGGCGGCCCCCUGGACGAAGACUGACGCUCAGGUGCGAAAGCGUGGGGAGCAAAACAGGAUUAGAUACCCUGGUAGUCCACGCUGUAAAACGAUGUCGAUUUUGGAGGUUGUGCCCUUGAGGCGUGGCUUCCGGAGCUAACGCGUUAAAUCGACCGCCUGGGGAGUACGGCCGC